rnacentral:lncRNA from 1 species
GUGGCACUAGAUUCGUAAUAAUCGAGUGGACGUACGAAGCUGAAGAGCAUUUCAACAAACAAAUCCCAAAACUAGUUCUAUAAACGACUAGCAAUUUAUCGCUGGGAUUAGCAAAACCUUAGUGAAAAAAUUGGCUCGGGCUGAAGUAUUCAAUUUCGGAUAAUCCACAUAAAAAGGACCAAUGAAGUAAAUAUAUCGUUUUUACUUACAUCAUAAAGACAAGAUGUGUAUCUUUGCUUUUGGAUACCAUAUUUUGUUACAGAAUUACGACUAUAACUUUGCAUUGGGUUUCUUUGAUAUAAUUGAGAAUGGCAAUAAGGAAUCGUCAGUGACAACAACGUGAUCAAAGAGCAAAA